ACUUCUUUAUCACCGAGUGCUUGCACUCACCGAUAGAUAGUUGAGUGGCGAACGGGUGAGUAACACGUGGGCAACCUGCCCAAAAGAGGGGGAUAACACUUGGAAACAGGUGCUAAUACCGCAUAACCAUAGUUACCGCAUGGUAACUAUGUAAAAGGUGGCUAUGCUACCGCUUUUGGAUGGGCCCGCGGCGCAUUAGCUAGUUGGUGGGGUAAAGGCUUACCAAGGCAAUGAUGCGUAGCCGAACUGAGAGGUUGAUCGGCCACAUUGGGACUGAGACACGGCCCAAACUCCUACGGGAGGCAGCAGUAGGGAAUCUUCCACAAUGGGCGAAAGCCUGAUGGAGCAACGCCGCGUGGGUGAAGAAGGUCUUCGGAUCGUAAAACCCUGUUGUUAGAGAAGAAAGUGCGUGAGAGUAACUGUUCACGUUUCGACGGUAUCUAACCAGAAAGCCACGGCUAACUACGUGCCAGCAGCCGCGGUAAUACGUAGGUGGCAAGCGUUAUCCGGAUUUAUUGGGCGUAAAGGGAACGCAGGCGGUCUUUUAAGUCUGAUGUGAAAGCCUUCGGCUUAACCGGAGUAGUGCAUUGGAAACUGGGAGACUUGAGUGCAGAAGAGGAGAGUGGAACUCCAUGUGUAGCGGUGAAAUGCGUAGAUAUAUGGAAGAACACCAGUGGCGAAAGCGGCUCUCUGGUCUGUAACUGACGCUGAGGUUCGAAAGCGUGGGUAGCAAACAGGAUUAGAUACCCUGGUAGUCCACGCCGUAAACGAUGAAUGCUAAGUG
rnacentral:rRNA from 1 species